rnacentral:tRNA from 1 species
GGCCCCGGGGUGUAACACGUGAAGUUGCAAACUUCAAGAAGCAGAAUAAUAUUCUGCCGGGGCUU